rnacentral:rRNA from 1 species
UACGGAGGAUGCGAGCGUUAUCCGGAUUUAUUGGGUUUAAAGGGUGCGCAGGCGGAAUGUCAAGUCAGCGGUAAAAUUUCGGGGCUCAACCCCGUCGUGCCGUUGAAACUGGCGUUCUUGAGUGAGCGAGAAGUAUGCGGAAUGCGUGGUGUAGCGGUGAAAUGCAUAGAUAUCGAGAGGAACACUCGUGGCGAAGGCGGGUUCCUGGACAUUAACUGACGCUGAGGCACGAAGGCCAGGGGAGCGAAAGGG